UAGGGAAUCUUCCACAAUGGACGCAAGUCUGAUGGAGCAACGGCCGCGUGAGUGAAGAAGGUUUUCGGACCGUAAAGCUCUGUUGUUGGUGAAGAAGGAUAGAGGUAGUAACUGGCCUUUAUUUGACGGUAAUCAACCAGAAAGUCACGGCUAACUACGUGCCAGCAGCCGCGGUAAUCGUAGGUGGCAAGCGUUGUCCGGAUUUAUUGGGCGUAAAGCGAGCGCAGGCGGAAGAAUAAGUCUGAUGCGAAAGCCCUCGGCUUAACCGAGGAAUUGCAUCGGAAACUGUUUUUCUUGAGUGCAGAAGAGGAGAGUAGAACUCCAUGUGUAGCGGUGGAAUGCGUAGAUAUAUGGAAGAAUACCAGUGGCGAAGGCGGCUCUCUGGUCUGCAACUGACGCUGAGGCUCGAAAGCAUGGGUAGCGAACAGGAUUAGAUACCCUGGUAGUCCAUGCCGUAAACGAUGAGUGCUAAGUGUUGGGAGGCUUCCGCCUCUCAGUGCUGCAGCUAACGCAUUAAGCACUCCGCCUGGGGGAGUACGACCGCAAGGUUGAAAC
rnacentral:rRNA from 1 species